ensembl:lncRNA
CACUUCUCUUCCAGCAGCCAUAUUCCCGACAACAAGAACAUCUGACAGAGCUCCCCUGGGGGACUCAAGAGCAUGUUUCACUGUGCACCAUGCUGGCACGGCGGCUGGGGGAGUGGAGUUAGCUCCGAAUGUUUGUUACACCUCGCCGUAUCAUUACACACGACUAACCAGCUCGAAGAAAAGGAAAUGUCCGACCUCCUGACAAGCGUUGUCUGGUUUUCCUGAUUCAGACAUCCACGUCAGUCUGUAUCAGAUGGAAAAAGAGAAACGCUCGGCAUGAUUACCUUUUCUCUCUGUCUCUGUAUCUCACAGAACCUUUCGCUUUCCAAGACGAGACGCAACUGGAAAAGGACAGCCCUGACACGGCGAGAUGGACAGAUACUGCUGAAAGUCCAUCUAAGUCUCUGCAGCACAGAGUUGGCCGCGCACCGACGGGCCGAGGUCAGGCUGAUGCUCGCCCACAAGACUGCACGAGUGGAGAGGUCAGCGGAUGCUAUUUUGCCCAAAGAACCUCGAGCGUCCAAACAGACUUGGCACGUCCUGCUGGCGGAGGACUCAUCACAUGACAAGAAAACUUGAUUCCCUACCCAUAACUGCAGGACAUCUGCGCUGAAUCGGCUCAAUUGGGUUGUAACGCACCGUGUUCAGUGAACUGGGGAGCAGAACUUCCCCAUCAGGUCCGACACAAGACCAACUCCGGCCACAACCCACCCAGAGGGAUGUACCAGUCGGCCCUCUCUGUCCUACUUUCCUCUUUUCAUCCUGCUCCUCUCAUGUUCCCAC